GGGCCGGGGUUGGUGUUUGUAAACUUGCCUCGGUCCCGGUGGGGGCAGCCGCGGCCGUGGGGUUGGCAGGGUGUGCUGGGGCCUGGAGGAGGCGCCGCGCGGCCGGGGAGCCAGCGGGAGGCCGCGCCUGGCAGGUUUCUGAAACAGAUCGUGAGCUUCAUCAAGAGAAUUCAACUGGAAAACCAAGACUGGUAGACUCUGUUUUUCUUCAGACAAUAGGCAGGAGCCAGGCAGAGUCCAGGGAUUCUUGGAACACCUAUCUUUUCUUUGGAGGACACUAAGUUCUAUUUGAAGACAAAGUUCAAUAUGGCAACAGGACUGAUGGGACACGAAGGAGUCGUUACCGUGAUUUGGUGACAGUUCUUCAAAACGACAGUGUCUCAAGGAAAGGUGGACCUAGGAACUCCUGAACUUUUGGGUUGCCUUAAGUGAGAAAUCAGCAUGGCUCAGGUAAAAAGCUCUAGAGUCCUCCUCCAAGAUCACUGGGAAGCCUGUUUGCAGUUUCACUCUUGAAUGCUGCCUUAGUCAACAUAUUGACCAACCCCAGUGAUCCAAGCUCUGUAUUAAGCACCAGGGGGAGAUCUAGAGGAAGGAAAGGAGACAGGCCACAGCCCCUGCCUUCAGGGAGCUUCCAGUCAAAUGAAGGAGGCAAGUCUCCUGGCUUGUGAAGGCCUAGCAGGUGUGAGUUUGGUUCCCACUGCAGCCAGCAAGAAGAUGAUGCUGAGCCAGAUUGCCAGCAAGCAGGCCGAGAAUGGCGAGCGGGCAGGUAGCCCUGAUGUGCUGAGGUGCUCGAGUCAGGGUCACCGAAAAGACAGUGAUAAGUCCCGGAGCCGCAAAGAUGAUGACAGCUUGUCUGAGGCCUCUCAUUCAAAAAAGACUGUUAAAAAGGUGGUGGUAGUGGAACAAAAUGGUUCUUUUCAAGUAAAGAUUCCCAAAAAUUUUGUUUGUGAACACUGCUUUGGAGCC
rnacentral:sRNA from 1 species